AACGAACGCUGGCGGCAUGCCUAACACAUGCAAGUCGAACGAGACCUUCGGGUCUAGUGUCGCCCGGCUGCGUAACGCGUGGGAACCUUCCCUUAGGUUCUGCCUAACUCCCCGACAGGGGUGCUAAUACCGGAUAAUGUCUUCUGCCCAAUGAUUUAUCGCCUUUGGAUGGGCCCGCGUUGGAUUAGCUAGUUGGUAGGGUAAAAGCCUACUACGGCGACGAUCCAUAACUGGUCUGAGAGGAUGAUCAGCCACACUGGGACUGAGACACGGCCCAGAAUCAUACGGGAGGGAGCAGUGGGGAAUAGUGGACAAUGGGAGAAAGCAUGAUCCAGCAAGGCCGGGUGAGUGAUGAAGGUCGUAGGGUUGUAAAGCUCUAGUAACCGGGAAGAUAAUGACAGUACCGGGAGAAUAAGCCACGGCUAACUACGUG
rnacentral:rRNA from 1 species